UCUGAACCAAUCUCAAUGCUUCCCCAUAGGAUUGGCUGAGACUGUCAAGGAGGCAGAUCAGGGGCAGAGCCAGCACAAGUCAAACGCCACCCUGACAAAUCAGCAUCACCACAGAGAUACAUUGAAUCAAUGCAUCUCUAUGAGGAAAGUUCAGUGUCUGCAUGCAGAGGGUGGAGAAAAUGAAUGUUGUGAUGCACACUAGGCAGGACUGCCCCAGGAAGCACCUCUAGCAGACAUCUGAGGAGUGACCAGUGAUGUUAUCACUAGGCUGUAAUGUAAACACAGCAUUUUCUCUGAAAAGACAGUGUUUACAGCAAAAAGUCUGAAGGAAAUGAUUCUACUCACCAGAACAAAUGCAAAGGCAUCAUCACUUUACUGCUGGG